rnacentral:lncRNA from 1 species
AUGAAUAGGCUCCAAAGAAUAGCAAGAAGAGUUAAGAAAGCCUUCCUCAGUGAACAAUGCAAACAAAUAGAGGGAAACAACAGAAUGGGAAAGACUAGAGAUCUCUUCAAGAAAAUUAGAGAUACCAAGGGAACAUUUCAUGCAAAGAUGGGCUCGAUAAAGGACAGAAAUGGCAUGGACCUAACAGAAGCAGAAGAUAUUAAGAAGAGGUGGCAAGAAUACACAGAAGAACUGUACAAAAAAGAUCUUUAUGACCCAGAUAAUCAUGAUGGUGUGAUCACUCACCUAGAGUCAGACAUCCUGGAAUGUGAAGUCAAGUGGGCCUUAGGAAGCAUCACUAUGAACAAAGCUAGUGGAGCUGAUGGAAUUCCAGUUGAGCUAUUUCAAAUCCUGAAAGAUGAUGCUGUGAAAGUGUUGCACUCAAUAUGCCAGCAAAUUUGGAAAACUCAGCAGUGGCCACAAGACUGGAAAAGGUCAGUUUUCAUUCCAAUCCCAAAGAAAGGCAAUGCCAAAGAAUGCUCAAACUACCACACAGUUGCACUCAUCUCACACGCUAGUAAAGUACUGCUCAAAAUUCUCCAAGCCAGGCUUCAGCAAUACGUGAACCGUGAACUUCCUGAUGUUCAAGCAGGUUUUAGAAAAGGCAGAGGAACCAGAGAUCAAAUUGCCAACAUCCGGCUGGAUCAUGGAAAAAGCAAGAGUUUUCCAGAAAAACACCUAUUUCUGCUUUAUGACUAUGCCAAAGCAUUCGACUCUGUGGAUCACAAUAAACUGUGGAAAAUUCUGAAAGAGAUGGGAAUACCAGACCACCUGACCUGCCUCUUGAGAAAUCUGUAUGCAGGUCAGGAAGCAGCAGUUAGAACUGGACACGGAACAACAGAUUGGUUCCAAAUAGGAAAAGGAGUCCAUCAAGGCUAUAUAUUGUCACCCUGCUUAUUUAACUUCUGUGCAGAGUACAUCAUGAGAAAUGCUGGGCUGGAAGAAGCACAAGCUGGAAUCAAGAUUGCCGGGAGAAAUAUCAAGAACCUCAGAUAUGCAGAUGACACCAACCUUAUGGAAGAAAGUGAAGAGGAACUAAAGAGCCCCUUGAUGAAAGUGAAAGAGGAGAGUGAAAAAGUUGGCUUAAAGCUCAACAUUCAGAAAACGAAGAUCAUGGCAUCUGGUCCCAUCACUUCACGGCAAAUAGAUGGGGAAAAAGUGGAAACAGUGACAGACUUUAUUAUUUAUUUAUUAAUUUAUUUAUUUAUUCUGGGCUCCCAAAUCACUGCAGAUGGUGACUGCAGCCAUGAAAUUAAAAGACGCUUACUCCUUGGAAGAAAAGUUAUGAUCAACCUAGACAGGAUAUUGAAAAGCAGAGACAUUACUUUGCCAACAAAGAUCCGUCCAGUCAAGGUUAUGUUUUUUCCAGUAGUCAUGUAUGGAUGUGAGAGUUGGACUGUAAAGAAAGCUGAGCACCGAAGAAUUGAUGCUUUUGAACUGUGGUGUUGGAGAAGACUCUUGAGAGUCCCUUGGACUCUAAGGAGAUCCAACCAGUCCAUUCUGAAGGAGAUCAGCCGUGGGAUUUCUUUGGAAGGAAUGAUGCUAAAGCUGAAACUCCAGUGGGCCACCUCAUGUGAAGAGUUGACUCAUUGGAAAAGACUUUGA